GGAGAGUUGGUAGAGUGGUUGAAUACACCAGUCUUGAAAACUGGCAGGCCUUCGCGGGCCUCGAGGGUUCGAAUCCCUCACUCUCCGCCA
rnacentral:tRNA from 1 species